rnacentral:lncRNA from 1 species
UGGGUAGGUUCUUAACCAGUUGUUUCUCUAACAACUUCUAGUAAUUGAUUUUACCCCAGAACCUAAUCAGUAGGCUUUGGCCUCCACUGAUAAGAUCUGGUUAGGUCCAACCAUUAACAUGACUAAAUUUGGUGAAUCAGACCAAUAAAUGAUCAGGCCCGACUUUGGCCGGUCAACCUAACCACCAUCAGAAAGACUCAACCAAAUUAUCAUAUUAUGAAUGAUAAUUCCAUUAGCCAAUGAGCACCAUGUCUUUGGGCCUCCAAUGAUCAUUGAACUAAUGGACUCAUUAUCACUCACUUAAUGGGAGGCAUUGACUUAGUUAUCAUUAUAACUUAAUCAUUUUAGGGACCUAAUAAUUUUUUAGGAUUUUAUUAAAGGAUAGUAGAGAAGAAAUUAUCUAGCCAAUUUCAAUCCUCCCACUGACUUCACCAAGUCAGAUUAAAAAAGAUUUAAUUAAAGCUGGCAUUAGGAGCACCUAAAUCAGUCACACUGAUUUACCUAAUGACAUGGGUGAGCUCUAAUCACCAAAUGAUCUAAUCAAAAUCUAACUUACCAUAUUGGCCAGGUAAGUGAGAUCAGUGGUGGGGAUUUGCCAUUAACUCGUCAAUGAUCGAAUCAAUGCGAGUAGCUCCCGCUUAAGAACUACUGAUCAAAACUGCCAAACUUACCUUAGAUACCAACCAGUUCAUUAGUUUUAAUUUUGAUCAACUUAGUAAAUAGGGCUCCACCGCGUAGCCAUG